AAAUCGAUUGGACGUAAACAACGAUAAUCUGCCAUUCUAAAUUUUCGCCAGUUUCUUGAUGAAUUUUCCAAAUAAUAAACGUUGCAUACUUUUACAUUUAUACCAGUAAUAUAAUUAACCACGUUGUUGAUAAAAAGAAGCAGAGAUGCCAGGCACUCGAGGUUUACGUCCUACCUCACCAGUGCAUGUACACGUUGACGAUGACAUUCCAGUUCACGUGCAUGUCAAACAGCAAAAGAAGAAAAAACCAGGGACAGUUUCGACUAAGAAAAUUACCAGAAGCACAGUUUCGUCGCGUGCUCGCAGUAAAAGUCCUGGUUCUGGCAACUGGGUUCCUCCCCCUGCAAAGGCUUCAAAAGGCUCCAAAGUAUCCUGGCAGGUGCCUGAGAUAUCAUCUGUUGCAUGGACUGGGGGCCCCACCCACAGGCUGGAGAUCCACACCCCGCGGGAUGCCCUCCGCAUGGAAGACCUCUCCACGGACGAGGAGGACCGAGUCCACAGCGAGAUGAGGCAGUAUGAGAACAAGAUCGAGAACCUCAUGAGCGAAGUCGGUACACUCAAAAAUGAGGUAGAGCUGCAGCGUACUCUACGUGAGAAGGAGCAGACGGAGGAUGAGCUGAACGACUCCCGCCGGGCUCUGGAGGAGCAGGAGCGGGAGAUAGAGGAGUAUCGGGAGGACCUCAAGUACACAGAACGGGAGAACCGCAUCCUCAAGUCCAGUAUGGGCCUCAUACAGGGAGAGGCUGAGGCUGUCAGAGUGGAGGCGGACGUGCUGAAUCAUGAGAGAGAGAAGCUGAUGAAGAAGUUGAUAGAGGUGGAGAUGGACGGACAGUGUGCAGCCAAACAGGCCUCCUCUCUCAGGGACCUCGUGCGCAAGUUCAGACAGGACUCCAGGAUAUCACAGGCAGACAGCGCCAGACUCUCUAAACAGAAGGACCUCCUCCUGGAGAAGCUUGCAGACUUUGAGGCGACCAAUCGCACGCUGCGUAGGAUCCUGCGAGAGCAACACAAGCAGGAGGUGGCUGCCGUGAGGCUGGGAGAGCAGAGGGACAUGCUCAUCAAGAGGCUGGCUGAUACAGAUAUCUCCAAUGAGCGUUUGAAAUCAGAGCUUAUAGACAGAGAUCGCAUGGUUGCAGAGCUGCGUGUACAGAUUGAGUCCAAUAGGGAGGAGAAUGUGGCCUUGACCCGGCUGCAGAGCUCCAUGGAGGCCACAAGGGGUCACUUACAGAAGGAGCUGAGGACCAAGGAGGCUGACUGUAACCGCAUGGCUGUACAGAUACGGUCUAUGGAGAGUGAGAACGCUCAGUGCAAGAUAGAGCUGGACCACCUACGUGACCUUGUUGCCACAGCCAAGGAGCGAGCUGAGAGGGACAAGGAGGCACUCAAGAAGGCCACCAGAGUUCAGAAGCAGAAGGCAGCACUGAGUGAGGACAGAGCAGAUCAGCUGGCAGCAGAACUACUCGAGAAGGAUCACAAACUGGAGGAUGUUCGAACCUCCCUGGAGGAAGUUUCGUUGCGACUCGAGAAGUCCAUCAAGGAGAGAGCACAGUCUGGUGCAGAGAACACGGCCUUGAAGACACGCAUGGAGGAGUUAGAGAGUCUGCUGGAGCGUGUCGACCACAACUCGAAGGCACAGAUUGAGGAGCUCACAGCCAAGCUUCAUAACCGCAACUCCGAGGUGUCCGGACUCAGUCUUGAGAACGAGAGACUUAAGUCAUCUGUAACAACGAUCGAGACCAAGUUUGCGCAGGCUGAUGAGGAGCUCAUGCAACUUAGGUCCAACCUCAAACACUAUGAGAAUCUUGUAGAUGAGUACAAAUCACAGAUGAACCGCUCACGUCGUGACGUUGAAGACACGGAGGCGGAGUUACUGGAAACACGCGAAGACAACAAGCGCUUAAAAGAGGACAGCCAUGCCGAGUUAGAAAAGGUGAAGAGUCAGUUGCAGGACCGACUGCAAGAGUUACAGCCCCUGCCAGAGAUGUUGAAGAACACUGAGCUGAAACUGCAUGAGACAGAGGAUGAGUUGAGACUGAGUGAGCGGAGAAACUCUGAACACACGAGAAUGAUCACAGAGUUGAAUAUUAAGGUUGCCACCCUGACAGACCAGAUAGAGAAGAUGCAGGACAGACUAAGAGGCACCCAGACUGAGAACAGCUCCAUGGGAGAACGCUUCACUACAGUGGAGAGGCGUCUCCAAGAAUCCGAGGACCAGAACCGGGAGCUCUUGACGACGGUUGCUAGGCGAGAGGAGGCUCUGCACCAGACCAAUUUGCGGCUGGAGGAGAGGGAGAGAGAGAACGCCAGUCUGACCCGCCAGCUAGAGAACGCCCUCACAGACCUGAGGAGGCAGCAGGACAACGUCAGAGACAAACAGGCAGCUAAGGAGCGCACGAUGCAGACCCGUCUUGUGGACCUGGAGUCACAGCUGAGCCAGACACGAGCAGAGGUCGCCCGUCUCAAACGAGAGAAGGAGGAGGCCGAGAGGAAGUUCAACUCGAGGCUGUACGAUCUCAAGGAUCGUCUAGAGCAGUCACACAGUACCAACAGAAGCAUGCAGAACUACGUACAGUUCCUCAAGAACUCGUAUGCAAACGUGUUUGGGGACAGUACCGUAAACAUGAUGCCAAACACACCCAUGAGGCAGGGAUAUCCCUAGCCCAUGUCUAUAGACACAUAAGUCUGCCUUUAUUAUUGCAAAUACGGUAUUUUAGUAUUAUUAUAUCUAUAGGGAUUUUUAUUUUUUAUCAAUACAAGAAAAUCAUGUAAUUUGUGAAGAUUUUAUAGAUAAUUUUUUUAUUUUGUUUUUGACAACUUAAAUUAUUUGUGAUUAUUAGGUAUGGUUUUAUUUAAGUUGCAGAACAAUCUUCUUAAACAUACCAAUAGCUGAAGUUAAAUUUAUUAUUUAUUUUAUUGAAUGUAUCAGUUUUGUCACUUACUGCAUAUUAUAUCUUUAAAAGUUCAAUGAAGACUGAGUAAACCUUUUAUAUCAAGAAAAUGUGGUAGAAAUUGCACAUUUUGCUUUUAGCUGAUUUUAUAGUAAUACAAAUUAUAAUGUGUUUCUCUUAUAGAUAUUUUACAUUUAAAGUUUCUUUAAUUAUAACAUUGUUUUCCUUCUUUUUAUUAAAGGUAGCUACGGCUUUAUCAUCUAUUAGAGGCACUAUUUGAUUGCAUUUUUAUGUUAAAGUUUAGGAGUCAAUCAUCUCACCAAAACUGAGCGUUGUUUGGAAUCAACACCCUUGUUUUUAAACCAUGAUUUUUAUUUUAACUGCAAGCUAUUAAUUACUCUUAGAUAAUAGUACAAUACAUAUUGGUUUUGAUAUUUCAAAAGCAUAAAUUAAAAAUAAAAGUAUGUGCUGUUAAUUUUGCAAAAUUAUUUUUUAGUUGAAAAACUAAUUGUUUGGUUUAAUUCAGUUUUAAUGAAUCAUCUGGCAAAAGCAGUGUGGAGUCGACUUCCAAUGGUAACAGUUACAUUACUUCAUGUUACUCAGUUUUGUGUUUUAAGCUGUGAACUGCCAUGAUUUUUGUUGUGUUUCAAUGUGUUUGAUUGUGACCUGCUAAAACUGUUCAUUGAAGAUAUUAAAUAUAGAAAGAAAUGUUGUAAUUGACUUAAUUAUAUGUAAACAUGGAACACUUUUUGUGCGGCAAGCUUCUAGUGGUUUAUGGGUCAUUUCAAAUUUUAAUGUGAAAACCUGGAAGUAUUGGAAUAUUAAACACCGACGUAAUAUCUUAAGAUUGGUUUGAAAAAUUAGGCCUAUUUAUUUUUAUACUAUCAUUUAUCUGUUAAAAUCGUGUUUUUAUUUUCUCCCCUUAAAAAAUAAAGGUAGGUAGUGUGUGUUUUUAUGCUUUAAAACAGUUUUACUGGUUUAUGCUUGUGGGGACAUGUCUACACUUUCAGGUCGUGCUAAAACAUGUCUGUAUAUGUAUUAAACAACCGAAAUCUCGUGGAUCAGGGUGUUUUGCCAGUGUUUGGAGAAUGUACAGUUAUAUUCAUUUUAUUUUAUGUGGAUUUAUUUUAUCUGUGAUAUAGAUUUUUUACUGUUUUAUUUAUACAUGUUUCACAUGUGUUUUGUUGUGAAUGUCAUAAUCAGCUUAUCUUUGAGUUAUGUUUAGUCCUGUUGUUGUCAAUGUUUAUAUUAAAUACAAAUAAAAUAUAAAUUUAAAAAAUAUCAAUAUUACUGUAUGCUGCAUUGCUUUUUCUAUGAGAAAUUAGUUCUAUAUCAUAUAUAUCUGUCAUUAGAGUAGGCAUGACAAGAUUAAUUAAAGAUUGUGCUAAAACAUAGUUUGAUUUUAGGCAGAAUGAUAAUGGUUUAUGAUUUUAAUCAAAUAAGAGUAAAAAAAAACUACUGACUUUCUUAACGUUUUACUAAAACAAAACAAUCUUUAGUCUUUUUUAGAAAUAGUAAAAGUUCCAAACAUAACCAGGCUAUGUAAUACAUGUAUAUGAUUUGCAUUGUAAUAUUGCAAUACAUUUAUCAAUUUUUGCGGAAGACAUUCUGCUUCUAUCCUGUAAUACGGUAUAUGAUAUUUUGCUAUUUAAUUUACAAUAGCAGUUUGGCUACAUAGAUAUUGCUUUUACCAUUAUAGAUUUUUUUAAUGAAUCAUGUGUUUUACAGUUUCGGCGUCUCAUUGUAUAUUUAUAUGAUAGAUAUUAAAUGAAAUAUAGAAAUAAAUGUAAUUUCAUA